GAAAAAUAUGAAAAAAAAGAAAAAAAAGAAAGAAAAAAAAACAGUAGAUGAAAAAAGAAAAAACAAAAGGAAAAACGAAUAAUGACAAGAGAAGAAAGGUAAAGAGAAAAGAAGAAAAAAGCCAAGUCAAAAAGUAAAGAAUAACUCGAAGGAAGGAGUGGAUGGCAAGAAAUAGAGAGAAAGCAGUGCAUAGCACAGCAGAGCAAAGCAAGGCAAAAUAGCAGCCAAAGCCACGAGAAUCAAGAAGUCAGUGAAGAGCAGGAAAGGAAUGGAGGAAUCUGUCCAGAGCUGUGCCCCUGCUUGCCACAGGAGCUGCGCGGGAGGAGAAGAACGUGGGCCAAAAGGUAAGAGG
ensembl:lncRNA